AACGAACGCUGGCGGCAUGCCUAACACAUGCAAGUCGAACGAGACCUUCGGGUCUAGUGGCGCACGGGUGCGUAACGCGUGGGAAUCUGCCCUUGGGUUCGGAAUAACAGUUAGAAAUGACUGCUAAUACCGGAUAAUGUCUUCGGACCAAAGAUUUAUCGCCCAGGGAUGAGCCCGCGUAGGAUUAGCUAGUUGGUGAGGUAAAGGCUCACCAAGGCGACGAUCCUUAGCUGGUCUGAGAGGAUGAUCAGCCACACUGGGACUGAGACACGGCCCAGACUCCUACGGGAGGCAGCAGUGGGGAAUAUUGCGCAAUGGCGAAAGCCUGACGCAGCGACGCCGCGUGGGUGAUGAAGGCC
rnacentral:rRNA from 1 species